AAUUGCUAGUAAUCGCGAAUCACCAUGUCGCGGUGAAUUGAACCUCGGAUUGGUACUAACCACUCGUCACAUGCUGAAAGAAGUUUCAUCGCAAUAAGUUUGCUCUUUUGAUACAAUACUGUUAUUUUUUUUGAAUUUAAUUUCUUGUAUUGAAAUUCACCGCAUGCGUGGCUUUAAUUAGUGUUAAGUCGAAAUACGGUUCAGGUAGUGGAAGUUGC
rnacentral:rRNA from 1 species